CUCAAGUCCUCUCAAGGGUCAUGUGAAGUUCUUGAGAUAAUAUCAAUUUAAAUUCACCUGAAUGUUUAAACAUGGUUCUUUAAAGCAGGAAGACAGAGAGGUGGAAGAAGCUGAAUGGCCGUGCCCGCGGGAGCAUGGCUGGUCAGACGCCGGGUCUGAGGAGUACCGAGGAGCUGGAGGUGCUCUCUUCCAGCAGACUCCCCACUGGGCCCAAGGAAAGCCUGUGACCUGGGGCAAAAUGGACGUCUCCUGGAUCCUUGAGUCACCACGUGGAGAAGAACUAUUGACCACUCUUGCUGGGCCUUACAGAAGACUACCCCCUCACAUGAUGAGCCACAAAGGCAUCUGAGGAUGUCCAGCUCUCUUGGGUCACCCCAGAUCCACCUGAUGCUACAUUCCUGGACCUGGGCCUGGCGUCAAGUUCUGCUCUUGACACUAGUCAUCUGUGAGUUACCCCUCUGGACCGCCCCUUCUUCGUGUCUCCAUGAGCUUGCUCCCAGACCCCAGGGCAGGGCUAAUUCCAUCAGGGCUCUGGACUGGGGGUCAGUUGCACCUGUGCCCAAAAGCCAGAGCCAAGAAGCUGCAAUGUCCUUUGCUCACCACACUGCACUGGGUAGCACCUGGUGUACAGUCAGAGCACCAGGGUGAGAAUGGACAAGGGCCAACUUGGACUCCUAUUGUCUGAGGGGAAUGUGGCUGUCGCUGCCCUGAACAGGCAAGUCAGAGAGGAGCUGGAACAGAGGCCUGAUUUGGUUCCUUGCACCUGUUGGCACACCUCUCAAUACAGGGUCUCAACAGGAGCUCUGGACUGAGAGUCACAAUCAUUUAUACCCCUGGGUAAAAGUGUUCAAAAGAGAAAGGCUGGAGGGGACUCCCUGGCCAAUGACAAACACAGUGUCCCUCUUCAGGAGCUGGAGAAGCUUAGGCUUCAACAUGGAGAAACAUGUGUCUGUCUCAAGCCUACAUCUGCCAAUGUAGGCACAUGUUUCCCUGCCAGGGGCCAGCUGGAAGCUUCCUGGAGCUCCUUAUGCUUCUGGCCUCUUCAACUCACAAACUGUUCAGCAGGGCAAAACCCUUAACAAGCUGGAACAUAAUCAAAACUCUAAAUGCAUUAGGUCAUUUCUCCUGUAAUGAGAAAGAAAAAUCACAAUAAAACAAAUUCACAUCAAGAACAUACUGAAAGAACAGUAACAAUAGCCAUAUCCACAAAACAAUCUUAGCCUUGUCACCAGCGAGGAGGCAAUCUUAGGAUGGUGGCUGUAAGGCCAUCAAAUCCCCAAGGAACCGUCCAACCAUCCAACAAAAGAAUCAAUACUGGAGACGAUCGCUGUUUCCCAAGGCAGAGAGCAGACACAUGCAUCGUGCCUUGUCAGUGACGACGCAAAUGGAAACGCUUCUGCGGUCAAUCUUCAGUGAAUGCGAUGAUUUUAUUAACUGAUUCUUGAGUAUCCGGGCCCUCCUUAAACAUUCUGGUGAAAGGACAUUUGUAAGAUACACAAAGAAUUCACACACCCUACAUCUUGAGAAAAUCAGACGCUUCAUAUCCUUUGUGGAAAUGAGAUCGAGAACAAAAUAAAAUAUAAAAAUCUUUUAAAAUCCAUGAAACAAUAAGGAGACGAGAAGGGGAUGAGGGGACAAACAAAAAGAAAAGGGGCCACUUGCCUGGCGCUUUGGAGGCCUAGAAAGUUAAACGUGUCCUAAAGUCAUGGCACUGGCCGCCCUCCAAAAUCUGAGAGGCACCUCAAGGCAUUUGGAAGAAAGCACCACUUGGCUGGGAAAAGUGGUACCAAGGGAGGCUUUCAGGCCAGGAAUUACAGGGAAAGUAACAAUCAUGUUAAUCAAGUGCCUAGAAUUGGCUUCACACCGACUUUCUCUGAAACUAUUGGCCAAGAAUAUCUUUCAGUUUAUUUGCACAAUUGACCAAAAUUCCUUCUACCUUAGAACGUAUUAACCUGAUCUACUUGUUCUUAAGGUUCAGGAGAUCACAGAUUCUUUUGAGAAUCCAACAAAGCUAUGUACCCUUUCCACCAAAAAAAUUAUUGUUGGCACACACUUCUCAACGAAUUAACAAGGACCCGAAGCCAACUCAUAGACCCUGGUUUGAAACCCCUGUGCUAAAGUGGACUCCAUUUGGGACCCAGGGACCAAGGAUGGGCGCAGUUUCAUUUCCCGAGUUUCAAUAUCAGGGGCUGAUCAUCUACGCGAGGUGACGAGAUAACUAUAAUCAUAAGAGAAAGGCACCUUAGCGCCUCCCAAGUUUGCCCUGGGAAUUUAGCAUCCUCACUGGUUAUUGUGGAGGCAUCCAUCCAGCCUGGCCAGGGCCCUUUCUCCCAGGGGCCUUCAGGCAUUUACAAAACACCAGAUGGCACAACUCUUCUAGGCAGGUAUGGGACAGGACAACCUGUUAGUACUCAAAUCAGGGACUGUCUCCAUUAGGGGUGUGUGUGUGUGUGUGUGUGUCCAUGCAUGCGUGCACCUGGGAAUCUCAGGCCAUCUCAGUGGGCUGGUUGGGUUCAUCUAGACUCACCUGAGCCAUUUCUUCACUUUGGAGCAUUUCUCCAAAGAAAUUACGGGUAAAACCAACAUCACAAAUGAUGUAAUGAUUUGGCCCAGAAGUGAUCCUCAUCACUUCCCCUCCCAGCCCUUUGGCUGGGAGCAGUGCUAUGGCCCUGUCUGAGAAGGGAGGAAAAUAGAAACUCCCUGUGGUCCACCAGAGCAGAGCACUGGAUCCAGGCAAGCUCAGGAGCUCUCCUCCACACACUCUUUACACAGGAAUCAGAGACACCGACGGGAAAAAGGACAUGCUCUAGGUCACUGUCUAGAAAGGGCACAGCCAAGACUCCAGCCUGGGUCUGUCGUACAAAGUUUCCAUGCCCCUAAUCACAGUCGGAGCGCAGUGGGGGUAAACAAAGGGAAGGCAGAAGCAAAGAACUUCCUUGCUCUGUGUGAUGUGCUUUCAGAUCGCAAGGAGCUUUCUGCAUGCUGGGGGACCACCUGCCCUGGGAGAGUCUGGGGUCUACAGGCCUCCCCGCAUUCCACUACUGGGGAGAGCACACUGAUGACAGCCCUCGCCUGGUGUUACUGAUGUCUUGGCGUGUUGGCCAUGCAAUAAGCAGAUUUUCAUCUCACCUCUGACUUGGUGGCACACGAUGGGCCUCCUGGUGAGCUUGAGGGUCGUGCUGCAACAUUCCAUUUCUAUUGCAUCAGUGUCACUGGGGCACACAGAGCACGCCUUCCUGCAGCCCCAAACCUACAGGCUCCCCCAACAAGGCCCCUCCCCACACAGGGACCAGGGUGGCAAAGGGUGCACAAUGCCCUCUUCCUGUGGCCUAUUGAGAAGGAGUAGGCAGGGCACGGAGGCAGUGGGGAGGCUGUGAAGGAAGGUUUGCCUUCGUUUUAAGGUUUGGUGCUUUUAGGCGUAAACUCUGAGUUUCUUUCCUGACACCAUGCCUACAGCCAGGAGGCUGGGAAAUCAGGCUUGCUGGGGCUCAGACCUGAGUAGCGAGUCUUCAUGCUCUGAGCCAAAGAGCACAGCAGGGUCUGUGCCUGGGGUCAGUGUCCUCACAGCAGCAGCACCUGUGGCCCAUAGCAAUGACUGAACUAUGGCCCUGGGGUCCUGGGUGGGACACCACCCCCCAGUAUCAACUAGGAAGGGUCUGGAGUCAAGCUUCUGCCCCUACAUUGUGCUGGCUGCCUCUUUCCUACACAAUGUUUAGGGGUUUGCUUGAUUUAUUUUGAGAGCAAAUUACUAUCACAAUUCGAGAGCCCUGAGCCCCUCGCCUGCCCCAGGACUCUCCUCAAUCCCCCCGCGCUUUCUCUCUUUCUCUCUCUCUCUCCCCUGUACGCUGCCACCCAUGCAGCUGAUGCGACACAGCUGCGGAGUGAUUUAACGCGGGGAUCAUUCCUGUCUGACACUCUGACUUGGGAGAAAACCUGGAUGUUUUUGUGCAUAAUAGAGCUACUUUCCUCACUCAGCAUCAGCAUUUACAGGCUGUACAACUCACUCUUCCUGGAAUUUGCUCUUCUGGUUCUUGUAAUCCUGGGCUGAGUGAUGCCAUGCCUCCCUGUUCUCUGCUUCCUGCAAGGAUUUUUUUUUUUCUUUUUGGCUGGCCACAUUUGAUCCAUUAGAAGCCUCCCCGUUUUUUCCCUUCCAUUUCUCCCUUUCCAUCCCCCAUUUCAGUCCACCCUGAGGGUUUCUGAAUAAAGCCGGAGGAGUGCGUUCCCGCCUUUGACUCACGCUGCUCCAGUUGAAAGUUCACUGAAUUUCCUUAUGCACCAAGAAGCUUCACACUGAGUACCUCUGAGAAACUCUUACUCACUUGAUUACAGCAUUGCUAAACUUUUGGCAGAACACGUGUUUACCCAUUUAAUUAUCAUUAUUCAGUGUUUCUCCCACUCGGAUUUCUGGUUUUACAUAUUAUAUCAUUUUUGGCUGAGCAGACGUGUGGGGAAUGGUAAUAUAGAAGGCGGAAAAAGAUACAGUGGAUCGGGAUGUGCACUUAAACUUUAGUUUUUUCUCCCAAGGACGACUGUCUGCGAGAUAUCCAUGUCACCAAGCAAAUAUUCUUUUCUUUAAAUCACUUUUCUUUUGUUUUCGGAAAAAGUCCCUUCCAUUGGUCCUCCCCUCAUUGGGUCUUACUCAUGCCUCAAUCACUUCCUACUGGGGUUAUAGAUGGUUUUUGUUUCACGACAUCUAAAAUGAUGUCUUUUGAAUGAAUAUCCAAGGAGCCAAACAGACAUAGAAAGAUUGAUUCUGGAAAAUAAAAUAUUAGUCAUUUGC
rnacentral:lncRNA from 1 species